GCAGAGAGAGAGUGAAUGGAGAAAGAGUUGGUAUGGAAAAACACGCGGCGAAAUAAAUAGAAACAUACGUUAUUGAACACAUCUUAAUAAUAUUAAAUAUCACAUUAUCCCCUCGAUUACCACAUUGGCGACGAGGUAAAUCGGAAGAGGCUAUUUUUCUCAGCCUGCCGGUGAGCAGAAACCAAAAAUCGUCGCUGGAAGCGAUAGGCUACAGGGUAGCGACUGCAAAAUAGCAGUGGUUCAAAUAUAUUCGCUGGAAGCGGAAAAAAAAGAGAGGCUGUUUACUUCACCAGAGUUGGUGGACUGCUUUCGUAACAAAGUUACGUCUGGUAGCUGUAAGCAGAAAAUUCCUUGGAUCAACCAGUUUCACAAUGGAAAAAUGGGAAAUUCAACCAUUCAAAUUUAGGUCAUUUCCCCGCAAUAUCGUCCGUAAUGAGUGGAUUAAAUACAAGCGCAAUUUCGACUAUAUAGUAGCAGCAUCUGGAGAGAAAGAUAAAACACGCAUUAAAAAUCUAUUUCUGGCUCGAGCUGGACCGGAACUGCAGGAGGUUUUCGCUUCUAUUCCCGGUGUGGAUGUGGGAGAAGAUAAGGAAAAAGGCGUCGAUCCAUAUUCUGUUGCGAUACAAAAACUAGACACUUACUUUUCUCCUAAACAGCAUGAAACGUUCGAACGGAACGUUUUCUGGACACUCAGGCCAAGCCAAGACGAGACAUUGGAAAAGUUUAUGCUACGUAGUCAGGACCAGGCCAGUAAGUGCAACUUUGGCAGGACAGCACAAGAAAGCAGGGCAAUAAGCGUAAUCGAUAAAGUGAUUUUAUUCGCCCCGAGUGACCUGAAGGAGCAACUUUUACAGAAGGAUUCUUUUGAUAUUGACGAAGUCGCAAAAAUCGUAAGCUCAUACGAAUCAGUGAAACACCAAGCACAAAUGAUGAAUCGACCAUCUCUUGGAGGGACAGAGCCAUCCGAUCCUAGCAUUAUUGAAAGAAGCAUCAAUAAAAUUUGGAACGAUCCUCGCAAUGAAUGUAUGAGAUGCGGGAAAAGGGACCAUUUCGCGAAUGAUCCCAAAUGCCCUGCACGUGGGAAAGAGUGCAUCAAGUGCAAACGAAUCGGUCAUUUCGCUGCUCGGUGCCGAACGUCAGCUGUAAAGCGAAAAUAUACGGAGGAACAUAGACCAGGACAUAGCAAAGAUUUUAAAAGGCAUCGGGUACACGAAAUUGAGA